GAUGAACGCUGGCGGCGUGCCUAAUACAUGCAAGUCGAGCGAAGAGGGGACGGGUGAGUAACAAGUCGAUAACCUCCUAUAAGACUGGGAUAACUUCGGGAAAACGGAGCUAAACCGGAUCCUUAUAGAUGGAUCCGCGCUGCAUUAGCUAGUUGGUAAGGUAACGGCUUACCAAGGCAACGAUGCAUAGCCGACCUGAGAGUGUGAUCGGCCACACUGGAACUGAGACACGGUCCAGACUCCUACGGGAGGCAGCAGUAGGGAAUCUUCCGAAAUGGGCGAAAGCCGGACGGAGCAACGCCGCGUGAGUGAAGAAGGUUUUCGGAUCGUAAAACUCUGUUGUUAGAGAAGCGGUAUCUAACCAGAAAGCCACGGCUAACUACGUGCCAGCCGCCGCGGUAAUUC
rnacentral:rRNA from 1 species